GGGAAAUGAUAAGGCGGGAAAAAUGAGGAAAAGAUACUUAAACUGACUCUUAAUCAGUAGGUUUGGAGUUCGAGCCUCCGACGGCCCACCA
rnacentral:tRNA from 1 species